AGCAACUCCUGUUGUAGUUGCUCCAAAUAGUAGAUCUUGUCAUUCAUGCCUUCCUUUCUGUACGCAUCCACCAUGAUGGAGAAGGUUAACUCAUUAGGUGGGCAUUGCUUGUCUUUCAUUCGAUUAAAAACUCUCUCCAUUUCCAUCAAAUCCUCUGCCUUUGCACAAGCAAAUAUUACAGCAUUGUAAAAUGAGGUAUUUUCAGGUAUCUCAAACUUGGCAGCCAACUGAGCGGUGCUAAUAACUUUAUGAAAGAGACCAGCAUUAGCAUAGCCAUUGAUAAGGCAGCAAAAGGUCUUGGUGUCUGCCUUCAUCCCUUCAGCACGCAUUUGAUCAAACGUGUAUUCCAUGUG
rnacentral:lncRNA from 1 species